rnacentral:misc_RNA from 1 species
GAUGAAGAACGUAGUGAAAUGCGAUAAGUAGUGUGAAUUGCAGAAUUCAGUGAAUCAUCGAAUCUUUGAACGCACAUUGCGCCCUUUGGUAUUCCUUAGGGCAUGCCUGUUCGAGCGUCAUUUGAAACCUCAAGCUCAGCUUGGUGUUGGGUGUCUGUCCCCGCCUCACCGCGGGGACUCGCCUCAAAAUCAUUGGCGGCCGGUACGUUGGCUUCGAGCGCAGCAGAAACGCGAACUCGAGGCCCGGCGGAUCGGCGACCAGAAGUCACUUCUUCACAGUUUGACCUCGGAUCAGGUAGGGAUACCCGCUGAACUUAAGCAUAUCAAUAAGCGGAGGA